rnacentral:lncRNA from 1 species
UGCGUUUUUUGUUUUUUUGCUCAUUUUAAUCGAUUUGAUUUGAUUUAUAGAUGAUAAUGUGUUCAAAAUUUAGGGUUUUGAUUCCUUAUAUUGUUGUUUAUCAGAAAAUGUACUCAAUUGGAUGUAAUUUAUUUGCUUGGAGGUGGAUUUUUUAGUUAAAAUGGCUGAUGUAAGAUGGCCCUAUCAAGAACAUAAUUUUUUAUUUUUUAUUUUUUGUAAUCCAUUCUCGAAUUUUUUUUUU